GAUGAACGCUGGCGGCGUGCCUAAUACAUGCAAGUCGAGCGAACAGAUGAGGAGUUUGCUCCUCUGACGUUAGCGGCGGACGGGUGAGUAACACGUGGAUAACCUACCUAUAAGACUGGGAUAACUUCGGGAAACCGGAGCUAAUACCGGAUAAUAUAUUGAACCGCAUGGUUCAAUAGUGAAAGACGGUUUUGCUGUCACUUAUAGAUGGAUCCGCGCCGCAUUAGCUAGUUGGUAAGGUAACGGCUUACCAAGGCAACGAUGCGUAGCCGACCUGAGAGGGUGAUCGGCCACACUGGAACUGAGACACGGUCCAGACUCCUACGGGAGGCAGCAGUAGGGAAUCUUCCGCAAUGGGCGAAAGCUUGACGGAGCAACGCCGCGUGAGUGAUGAAGGUCUUCGGAUCGUAAAACUCUGUUAUUAGGGAAGAACAAAUGUGUAAGUAACUAUGCACGUUUUGACGGUACCUAAUCAGAAAGCCACGGCUAACUACGUG
rnacentral:rRNA from 1 species